rnacentral:rRNA from 1 species
UUUCCGGUUGAUCCUGCCGGACCUGACUGCUAUCGGAUUGAUACUAAGCCAUGCGAGUCUUUGUAGUAAUACAAGGCAGACGGCUCAGUAACACGUAGUCAACCUACCCUAUGGACAAGAAUAAUCUCGGGAAACUGGGCAUAAUUCUUGAUAGAUCAUAAUGCCUGGAAUGGUUUAUGGUUAAAAUGAUUCGUCGCCAUAGGAUGGGACUGCGGCCUAUCAGCUUGUUGGUGAGGUAAUGGCCCACCAAGGCGAUUACAGGUACGGGCUCUGAGAGGAGAAGCCCGGAGAUGGGUACUGAGACACGGACCCAGGCCCUAUGGGGCGCAGCAGGCGAGAAAACUUUGCAAUGUGCGAAAGCACGACAAGGUUAAUCCGAGUGAUUUCUGCUAAAGAAAUCUUUUGCCAGUCAUAAAACCACUGGUGAAUAAGGGGUGGGCAAGUUCUGGUGUCAGCCGCCGCGGUAAGACCAGCACCUCAAGUGGUCAGGAUGAUUAUUGGGCCUAAAGCAUCCGUAGCCGGCUUUGUUAGUUUUCGGUUAAAUCCAUGUGCUCAACGCAUGGGCUGCCGAAAAUACUGCAUAGCUAGGGAGUGGGAGAGGUAGACGGUACUCAGUAGGAAGGGGUAAAAUCCUUUGAUCUAUUGAUGACCACCUGUGGCGAAGGCGGUCUACCAGAACACGUUCGACGGUGAGGGAUGAAAGCUGGGGGAGCAAACCGGAUUAGAUACCCGGGUAGUCCCAGCUGUAAACGAUGCAGACUCGAUGAUGCAUUGGCAUAAUAGCCAGUGCAGUGUCGCAGGGAAGCCGUUAAGUCUGCCGCCUGGGAAGUACGUACGCAAGUAUGAAACUUAAAGGAAUUGGCGGGGGAGCACCACAAGGGGUGAAGCCUGCGGUUCAAUUGGAUUCAACGCCGGA